GGUGUUCCUGGUUUGGGAAGUAUAAAUCCCGUGGGAAGUCAACUGGAGGACAUUUUACGCGUCACUCAUCCUAUUAUGAGCCUGCUGCUCCUCCGUCUCUUGACAAGG
ensembl:misc_RNA Gm27366 predicted gene, 27366